GCCUACGGGAGGCUGCAGUGGGGAAUAUUGCACAAUGGGCGAAAGCCUGAUGCAGCAACGCCGCGUGAGUGAUGAAGGCCUUCGGGUUGUAAAGCUCUGUCUUCUGGGACGAUAAUGACGGUACCAGAGGAGGAAGCCACGGCUAACUACGUGCCAGCAGCCGCGGUAAUACGUAGGUGGCAAGCGUUGUCCGGAUUUACUGGGCGUAAAGGAUGCGUAGGCGGAUAGUUAAGUGAGAUGUGAAAUUCCCGGGCUUAACUUGGGCGCUGCAUUUCAAACUGGGUAUCUAGAGUGUGGGAGAGGAAAGUGGAAUUCCUAGUGUAGCGGUGAAAUGCGUAGAGAUUAGGAAGAACCCCAGUGGCGAAGGCGACUUUCUGGACCAUAACUGACGCUGAGGCAUGAAAGCGUGGGGAGCAAACAGGAUUAGAUACCCCAGUAGUC
rnacentral:rRNA from 1 species